rnacentral:rRNA from 1 species
GAUGAACGCUGGCGGCGUGCCUAACACAUGCAAGUCGAACGAUGAACCCGGAGCUUGCUCCGGUGGAUUAGUGGCGAACGGGUGAGUAACACGUGAGUAACCUGCCCUUGACUCUGGGAUAACUGCGGGAAACUGUAGCUAAUACCGGAUACGACCCUCGGCGGCAUCGCCAGGGGGUGGAAAGACUGUCGGUCAAGGAUGGACUCGCGGCCUAUCAGCUAGUUGGUGAGGUAACGGCUCACCAAGGCGACGACGGGUAGCCGGCCUGAGAGGGUGACCGGCCACACUGGGACUGAGACACGGCCCAGACUCCUACGGGAGGCAGCAGUGGGGAAUAUUGCACAAUGGGCGCAAGCCUGAUGCAGCAACGCCGCGUGAGGGAUGACGGCCUUCGGGUUGUAAACCUCUUUUAGUAGGGAAGAAGCGAAAGUGACGGUACCUGCAGAAAAAGCACCGGCUAACUACGUGCCAGCCGCCGCGGUAA